rnacentral:rRNA from 1 species
UACGGAGGGUGCAAGCGUUAUCCGGAUUCACUGGGUUUAAAGGGUGCGUAGGUGGGCAAGUAAGUCAGUGGUGAAAUCUCCGGGCUUAACCCGGAAACUGCCAUUGAUACUAUUUGUCUUGAAUACUGUGGAGGUCAGCGGAAUAUGUCAUGUAGCGGUGAAAUGCUUAGAUAUGACUAGAACACCAAUUGCGAAGGCAGCUGGCUACACGAAUAUUGACACU